rfam:Salmo salar isolate Sally breed double haploid chromosome ssa18, whole genome shotgun sequence.
UGUAUUCACUACUGUAAGUCGCUCUGGAUAAGAGCGUCUGCUAAAUGGCUAAAA